CAGGUAAAAGGAAAAUCAGCUGGAACUUCAAUCAACCAAUGUUACCAUAAACAAAAGAAGAACUUACAUAUUUGGGGUUAAUAUGUGAAGAACUCAUAGGUUUUAUGACCAACAAUAUAUUGCAAUCCAAGGGAAAAAAUGGAAGCAUUAUGAGCCAUUUUCAAAGGCUGUCUCACAAAAUGCAUGCUGUAAUUACUGGACUGAAGAGAACGAUUCCUUCCUGAUAUGACAAGGUUCCUGAUUACAGGAGAUGAUUCCAAAAGUGAAUUUUCCACACUGAAUGGUGAGUUCCAAUUACUACAUGUAUUUCCCACAUAAUUAAAUGAAGCUACUUUUUAGCUGUCUACCUUCAUUUUCUGGAAAACAAAUCUAAGUAUGAAACCACCCCCACCCCCGCCAAAAAAAUAAAAACAAACACUUCUAAUUGAAGUGAAAAUUAAAAAUAGGGGCACCUGGGUGGUUCAGUCGGUUGAGUAUUCGACUUGUGAAUUCAGGUCAGGUCAUGAUCCCAGGGUUGUGGGAUCGAGCCCCAUGUCAGGCUCUGCACUGAGCAUGGAGCCUGCUUAAGAUUCUCUCUCUCCCUCUCUUUCUCUCUCCCCCUCACUCUCUC